rnacentral:rRNA from 1 species
GUUAUAGGGUCAAGCGAACAAGUGCAUGUGGUGGAUGCCUUGGCGAUCACAGGCGAUGAAGGACGCGGUAGCCUGCGAAAAGCUACGGGGAGCUGGCAAACAAGCUUUGAUCCGUAGAUGUCC